rnacentral:rRNA from 1 species
CCCGGUGGUCAGGGCGAGCGGGAAACACCUCUUCCCAUUCCGAACAGAGUCGUUAAGCCGCUCAGCGCCGAUGGUACUCCGGACUCACGUCCGCGGGAGAGUAGGUCGCUGCCGGGA